rnacentral:misc_RNA from 1 species
GAUGAAGAACGUAGCGAAAUGCGAUAAGUAAUGUGAAUUGCAGAAUUCAGUGAAUCAUCGAAUCUUUGAACGCACCUUGCACCCUUUGGAAUUCCAAAGGGUAUGCUCGUUUGAGUGUCAUUGUACUCUCACACUCUCCGAUCCUUUGGAUUGGGAGCGGUGGACUUGGGUUUGCUGCUUGCCGUGGCUCACCUCAAAUGGAUUAGUGCAACUCUUGGUUGACCAUAGUACGGCGUGAUAAGUGUCUUCGCCGGCACCUCACUGGGUGGGCCGAUCGGGAGCUCUGUGCUUCAAACCGUCUUCGGACAACAACUGACAACUUGACCUCAAAUCGAGUAGGACCACCCGCUGAACUUAAGCAUAUCAAUAAGCGGAGGA